rnacentral:rRNA from 1 species
GAUGAACGCUAGCGACAGGCCUAACACAUGCAAGUCGAGGGGUAACAGGGAGCUUGCUCCGCUGACGACCGGCGCACGGGUGAGUAACGCGUAUGCAACCUACCUAUAAGAGGGGGAUAACCCGGAGAAAUUCGGAUUAACACCGCAUAAUAUCAUUUAGAGGCAUCUUUAGAUGAUUAAAUAUUUAUAGCUUAUGGAUGGGCAUGCGUCUGAUUAGUUUGUUGGGGAGGUAACGGCUCACCAAGACUACGAUCAGUAGGGGUUCUGAGAGGAAGGUCCCCCACAAUGGUACUGAGACACGGACCAGACUCCUACGGGAGGCAGCAGUGAGGAAUAUUGGUCAAUGGGCGAGAGCCUGAACCAGCCAAGUCGCGUGAAGGAAGACGGCCCUAUGGGUUGUAAACUUCUUUUGUAUGGGGGUAAAAUGCUCUACGUGUAGAGUUUUGCAAGUACCAUACGAAUAAGGAUCGGCUAACUCCGUGCCAGCAGCCGCGGUAAGAC